rnacentral:rRNA from 1 species
UACGGGGGGGAGCGAGCGUUGUUCGGAUUUACUGGGCGUAAAGGGCGCGUAGGCGGUCAGCACAAGUCAGUUGUGAAAUCUCCGGGCUUAACUCGGAAAGGUCAACUGAUACUGUGCGACUAGAGUGCGGAAGGGGCAACUGGAAUUCUCGGUGUAGCGGUGAAAUGCGUAGAUAUCGAGAGGAACACCUGCGGCGAAGGCGGGUUGCUGGGCCGACACUGACGCUGAUGCGCGAAAGCCAGGGGAGCGAACGGG